UGGUGUGCUCUCAAAGAGUCGAGUUGUUUGGGAAUGCAGCUCUAAAUGGGUGGUAAAUUCCAUCUAAAGCUAAAUAUUGGCGAGAGACCGAUAGUGAACAAGUACCGUGAGGGAAAGAUGAAAAGAACUUUGGAAAGAGAGUUAAACAGUACGUGAAAUUGUUGAAAGGGAAACAUUUGAAGUCAGUUGUGUUGGCCAGGGAUCAACGUAGGGUUUUCUACCUAGGUGUAUUUUCUGGUUGACAGGUCAACAUCAGUUUUGAUCACUAGAAAAAAGUCAAGGAAAUGUGGCACCUUUUGGGUGUGUUAUAGUCCUUGGUUGUAUAUGGUGGUUGGGACUGAGGGAUGCAGCACACCGUGAGGCCGGGUUUCGACCACGCUUGUGCUUAGGAUGUUGGCAUAAUGGCUUUAAGUGACCCGUCUUGAAACACGGACCAAGGAGUCUAACAUGCGUGCAAGUGUUUGGGUGGAAAACCCAAGCGCACAAUGAAAGUGAAAGUUGAGAACCCUGUGAUGGGGAGCAUCGACGCCCAGACCA
rnacentral:rRNA from 1 species